CGAAAUUCCUUGUCGGGUAAGUUCCGACCUGCACGAAUGGCGUAACGACUUGGGCACUGUCUCGACAGGGGGCUCGGCGAAAUUGUAAUACCAGUGAAGAUGCUGGUUACCCGCGGUUAGACGGAAAGACCCCGUAGAGCUUUACUCUAGCUUGGCAUUGAGUUUUGGUAAUAUUUGUACAGGAUAGGUGGGAGACGGAGAAGCAUGGGCGCCAGUCUGUGUGGAGUCGCCAGUGGGAUACCACUCUAAUAUUGCUGGAAUUCUAACUUCAAGCCGUAAGCCGGAUGAAGGACACUGCCAGGUGGGGAGUUUGACUGGGGCGGUCGCCUCCUAAAGAGUAACGGAGGCGCCCAAAGGUUCCCUCCGCGCGGAUGGAAAUCGCGCUUCGAGUGCAAAGGCAUAAGGGAGCUUAACUGCGAGACAGACAAGUCGAGCAGGGACGAAAGUCGGGCUUAGUGAUCCGGUGGUACCGAGUGGAAGGGCCAUCGCUCAACGGAUAAAAGCUACCUCGGGGAUAACAGGCUUAUCUCCCCCAAGAGUCCAUAUCGACGGGGAGGUUUGGCACCUCGAUGUCGGCUCGUCGCAUCCUGGGGCUGGAGUAGGUCCCAAGGGUUUGGCUGUUCGCCAAUUAAAGCGGUACGCGAGCUGGGUUCAGAACGUCGUGAGACAGUUCGGUCCCUAUCUACCGCGGGCGUAGGAGAUUUGAGAGGAUCUGUCCUUAGUACGAGAGGACCGGGAUGGACGCACCGCUAGUGUCCCAGUUGUCACGCCAGUGGCAUGGCUGGAUAGCUAUGUGCGGAACGGAUAAGCGCUGAAAGCAUCUAAGCGCGAAACCGACCUCAAGAUAAGAUCUCCCACAGGGUUAACCUGGUAAGACUCCUUGUGAGAACACGAGGUUGAUAGGCCGGGAGUGUAAGUGCAGUAAUGUACUCAGCUGACCGGUACUAAUCAGUCGAGGGCUUGACCUA
rnacentral:rRNA from 1 species